rnacentral:rRNA from 1 species
AGUGAACGCUGGCGGUAGGCCUAACACAUGCAAGUCGAACGGCAGCACAGUAAGAGCUUGCUCUUACGGGUGGCGAGUGGCGGACGGGUGAGGAAUACAUCGGAAUCUACUUUUUCGUGGGGGAUAACGUAGGGAAACUUACGCUAAUACCGCAUACGACCUACGGGUGAAAGCAGGGGAUCUUCGGACCUUGCGCGAUUGAAUGAGCCGAUGUCGGAUUAGCUAGUUGGCGGGGUAAAGGCCCACCAAGGCGACGAUCCGUAGCUGGUCUGAGAGGAUGAUCAGCCACAUUGGAACUGAGACACGGUCCAGACUCCUACGGGAGGCAGCAGUGGGGAAUAUUGGACAAUGGGCGCAAACCUGAUCCAGCCAUACCGCGUGGGUGAAGAAGGCCUUCGGGUUGUAAAGCCCUUUUGUUGGGAAAGAAAAGCAGCAGAUUAAUACCCCGCUGUUCUGACGGUACCCAAAGAAUAAGCACCGGCUAACUUCGUG